rnacentral:rRNA from 1 species
GACGAACGCUGGCGGCGUGCUUAACACAUGCAAGUCGAGCGGUAAGGCCCUUUCGGGGGUACACGAGCGGCGAACGGGUGAGUAACACGUGGGUGACCUGCCCUUAGCUCUGGGAUAAGCCUGGGAAACUGGGUCUAAUACCGGAUAUGACUCCAUGACGCAUGUUGUGGGGUGGAAAGCCUUGUGCGGCUAGGGAUGGGCCUGCGGCCUAUCAGCUUGUUGGUGGGGUGANGGCCUACCAAGGCGACGACGGGUAGCCGGCCUGAGAGGGCGACCGGCCACACUGGGACUGAGACACGGCCCAGACUCCUACGGGAGGCAGCAGUGGGGAAUCUUGCGCAAUGGGCGAAAGACCUGACGCAGCGACGCCGCGUGGGGAUGACGG